GACGAACGCUGGCGGCGUGCCUAAUACAUGCAAGUAGAACGCUGAAGGAGGAGCUUGCUUCUCCGGAUGAGUUGCGAACGGGUGAGUAACGCGUAGGUAACCUGCCUGGUAGCGGGGGAUAACUAUUGGAAACGAUAGCUAAUACCGCAUAAGAGUAGAUGUUGCAUGACAUUUGCUUAAAAGGUGCAAUUGCAUCACUACCAGAUGGACCUGCGUUGUAUUAGCUAGUUGGUGGGGUAACGGCUCACCAAGGCGACGAUACAUAGCCGACCUGAGAGGGUGAUCGGCCACACUGGGACUGAGACACGGCCCAGACUCCUACGGGAGGCAGCAGUAGGGAAUCUUCGGCAAGGGACGGAAGUCUGACCGAGCAACGCCGCGUGAGUGAAGAAGGUUUUCGGAUCGUAAAGCUCUGUUGUAAGAGAAGAACGAGUGUGAGAGUGGAAAGUUCACACUGUGACGGUAUCUUACCAGAAAGGGACGGCUAACUACGUG
rnacentral:rRNA from 1 species